AGCAGCCGCGGUAAUUCCAGCUCCAAUAGCGUAUAUUAAAGUUGUUGCAGUUAAAAGCUCGUAGUUGAAUUUCGGGGUCAGUAGAUUGGUCAUGCCUCCGGUAUGUACUGGUCUUACUGGCUCCUCCUUCCUGAUGAACCGUAAUGCCAUUAAUUUGGUGUUGCGGGGAGACUGGACUGUUACUUUGAAAAAUUAGAGUGUUUAAAGCAGGCUAACGCUUGAAUACAUUAGCAUGGAAUAAUGAAAUAGGACGUUCGAUCUUAUUUUGUUGGUUUCUAAGAUUGACGUAAUGAUUAAUAGGGAUAGUUGGGGGCAUUAGUAUUCAAUUGUCAGAGGUGAAAUUCUUGGAUUUAUUGAAGACUAACUACUGCGAAAGCAUUUGCCAAGGAUGUUUUCAUUAAUCAAGAACGAAAGUUAGGGGAUCGAAGACGAUCAGAUACCGUCGUAGUCUUAACCAUAAACUAUGCCGACUAGGGAUCGGAUGAUGUUAAUUUUUAAUGA
rnacentral:rRNA from 1 species